UACUGGUCUUACUACUGGUCCUACUACUGGUCCUACUACUCGUCCUACUACUGGUCCGACUACUGGUCCGACUACUGGUCCGACAACUGGUCCGACAACUGGUCCUACUACUGGUCCUACUACUGGUUCUACUACUGGUCCCACUACUGGUCUUACUACUGGUCUUACUACUGGUCUUACUACUGGUCCCGCUACUGGUCCCGCUACUGGUCCUACUACUGGUCCUACUACUGGUCCUACCACUGGUCCUACUACGGGUCUUACUACGGGUCCUACUACUGGUCCUACUACUGGUUCCACUACUGGUCCCCCUAUUGGUCCUACCACUGGUCCUACUACUGGUCCUACUGGUGGUUCUACUACUGGUCCUACUACUGGUCCUACUACUGGUCUUACUACUGGUCUUACUACUGGUCUUACUACUGGUCUUACUACUGGUCCUGCU
rnacentral:lncRNA from 1 species